GCACGUGAUCCGGUGCAAUUACAGAAUGAACAGGAUACAUCGUUUCACGAUCGUGCCGCAUGCUCGUCGCGUGUAAAUAUUAAUUCAGAACCGUCCGCGCCUCCCUUCGUCUCCGUCACGUUUUAUCGGGACAUUUUUAUCCAGAUAAAGCGUCUACGCGCGAUUAUCAGCGGGACUUCUGUCGCCGUAUCACGCGACCGAUCAGUUGAAACUUGUUCCUAGUCCCUUUUUUUGCUUUUGAAGUUAAUGAAAACAUGUAGAUUCAAUCGGAAUUAGCACGUAGGUGAUCGACUUUUGCUUCGUUUUAAUUUUAUUCCUACCUCUAAUCACGGUUACCGGUUGCUUUACAUUUUUCUUCACAGCCGUGCGUGCUAUAAUUGACCCACUUUGGAACAGGGUUCUUAUCUGAGAAUACCGAAUUGGAAAUUGAAAAUUUCUUAUAUUAGGAAAAUUUUUGUAUAAAUAUUCAAACGACUUAGAAGUUCAUAAAAAUCAUUAUAAAAAAUUUUAAAAAACAAUUGAUUAUUUUGGUAUUCAAGAAGAAAAUGGCUACUUUUUUUCGGUGAAAUAGAAGAAAGGAAUAUUUGUGAAAGUUUCGGUGAAAUAUGAACCGGCAGCAACGAACGUGUUAAAAGUCGCGCGAAACGCUGGCUUCGAUGCAGAUCCGAAUUUAUAGGAUCGGCCAACGUAUUCUCGACAAGGUGGAUCCGAUUUCGCUUGGUCGCGAUGUCACAAUCGUCGUUUUCGAGAAACGUGACCGCCAUCAGUGUGACCAACGGUUGCGUCACCAUUGAUUCGACAACACGGAAAACCUUUCUCUAUGUUGGCCUAAAUACCGUCUCCUCGGCCGUUCCUCGCGUACAGAUUUUGCCGUGGCCUUCCGGUCCUCGUGGACACGCUCGCCGUGAAAUCUGACCACGUCGAGGACCCUCGGACUUCGGGGAACGCCAUUGCAACGAAGAAUACCCAACCAUUACAAAACUAAUCGGGGAUUUCUUGCCUAUCGAUGACGCGUACUCUUAACAUUACUACAUAUUGUAUUACGUAAAACUCAUUGCAUUGAGCAAGCAAACUGCUGACGGAACACUCAUUGGACACGUGAUGCUUUGUAACUUCGAGACGUAUACGAAAUAUUUGCUUCGAAAAUAAUGAUCGAUAUGGAAGACAUUACUUUCUUUUAUAGCCACUGAGAGUUUCCUUACAGAGAAUCAGUGUUGUAUUUUUUUUAAAAACAAAUUUAAUCACCAGUGUAUUUAGAAAGAGAAAAAAGAGCAGUGUUGCAAUACAGAUAAAAUGCCCAAUAAUAAACAUGAGUCAUCCCUAAAUUUUCCGACAUAUGUAACAUGUCUCGUUAUGCUUAUAUUACUUUUAUUUUCGAAUAAUAUGGAUUCCAAUAAAAAAGAAAAAUUAAUGAUGGAAUCUUUGAGAAAUCGAUGGUUAUAACAAAUAUUGUUUCUUUCAAUUUUUAAUAUCAAAGCACGUAAUGCAUACGUUAAACACAUUCAUUGUCAUAAUUACAAUUAAAGUAAUGAAGAAAGAGAAAAAAAUUAUGCCAACAGUAAAUGUUAUAUCUUUAAUAAUUUAUAUUAUCGUGUGUCUGAUUAAUGUCUGUAUCUACUGCGGCAAUUCAUCCACCACGGUUUUUUGUCUUAUGUAUUUUAAAAUAAAUAAAAAUUAAAUUUUAUCAAAUAAUUUAAAAAAUAUCGUA